AGGACGAACGCUGGCGGCGUGCUUAACACAUGCAAGUCGAGCGGAAAGGCCCUUCGGGGUACUCGAGCGGCGAACGGGUGAGUAACACGUGAGCAAUCUGCCCUUAGCUUCGGGAUAGCCCCGGGAAACCGGGAUUAAUACCGAAUACGACCUCGGCCGACAUCGGCUUUGGUGGAAAGUUUUUCGGCUAGGGAUGAACUCGCGGCCUAUCAGCUUGUUGGUGGGGUAAUGGCCUACCAAGGCGACGACGGGUAGCCGGCCUGAGAGGGCGACCGGCCACACUGGGACUGAGACACGGCCCAGACUCCUACGGGAGGCAGCAGUGGGGAAUAUUGCGCAAUGGGCGAAAGCCUGACGCAGCGACGCCGCGUGGGGGAUGAAGGCCUUCGGGUUGUAAACCCCUUUCAGCAGGGACGAAGCGAGAGUGACGGUACCGUGCAGAAGAAGCGCCGGCUAACUACGUGCCAGCAGCCGC
rnacentral:rRNA from 1 species